rnacentral:lncRNA from 10 species
GAGAGAAAGAAAGUCCUCCUUCAAUGAUCCUGAUAACUUUCCUUCCUGGUGGUAGAAGGGAGAUAUGUUUAUCUUUUGUCUUGAAUCAAUGGGUCAUUGGUGUAAGCUACAGUUGUACAUAGAGUUAGUAUUGUAUUGAGAAUAUGGGCUCUCUCUCUCUCUGCCAUGUGUAGACACAGUGGGAAGACACUCUCUGAAAGCCAGAAGAAAGUCCCCACUAGAGCUCGACGAUGCUUGGCACCUGAUCUUGGACAUAAAUUUCUAUUGUUUAACAAUAAAAGAAUACCAGCUCUGGAGCCAGAGAACCUAUUUUUUUAAACUCUAUAUUUUCCAUUGAUUAUGCUAACUCAAUGACUCAGGAAUGUGGAUAGGCUUACACUUUCCUGGGGAUACCUAUUGGUCGUCUGUCAACAGAUAAUUGUUGAGAAUCUUCUCUGUACCUAGCUCUGCUCUAGAUACUAGAGACACAGCUAUGACAAGACAAAAUUGAUGUGUACGACGAUCUUGUAUAUUACUGAUUGUAAACUGACAACACACAUGUGAAAAAAAUAUAUAAAGGGAAAAACUUCAAGUACUUAAUAAUGCCAUAAAAAGACAGACUGAAGAGAUAUGAUUGAAAGUCACCUAGUCAAGACAAUGCAUGAGACUCUGAAAUAUGCUGGUCUUUGGGGAUGUACUGCUUGAGAGCUGAUAAAUCAGAAAGUCUUCCAGAAGAUUUUGUGGCUUGUCCUUUCACUUUUUAUGCCCUGUUUUGAUUAACAUAAGUUCUUAAUUUCAACCCAGUCACAUACACUAAUAUUUUUAUUUAAUGCAGCUUAAAGAUUUUAUAAUAUCAGAUAUUAUUUCACAAUAGCAAUUAUGUGUAUUGUUUAAAAAAUCCUUCUCUUGUAUAUCUUCUAAAAGCUUUAGAGUUCUGCCUUUGACACUUAAAUCUUGAAUACACCAGAAGUUGAAUUUUCUGCAUGAUUUGAAUAUCUUUAUAAAGACUUGGUUGUCCCAACACCAUUUACUUCAAAGCUUUUUCAUUCCCCAGUGAUAUGCCAUGCCACACCUCUAAUAUAGCAAGUGCUAAUAAAAGCAAAUAUACACUAAUUUUCUUUCUAUUCUGUUUGUUUUUUGGUCUAUCUGUGUAUAAAUACCACACUGUUCUGUUUAUUAGCACUAUAUAGUGUGUUUUGAUAUCUGAAGGAUCAAAUCCUCCCACGUUGUACUCUUUCUCUUUUAAUAGAGUUUGAGCUAGCCUUGGUCCCUUGAAUUUUAAGAUUAGUUUGUUGAGUUCUGCACACAUCCACACACCCUGCUGCGAUAUUGAUUGGGAUUGUAUUAAAUCUAAUAAUCAAUUUAAGGAGAUUGAAUCUUUGUAAUAUUAUGUUUUUCAGUCCAAGAACUUGGCAUACCACACAUUGUGUAUCUAUUUAUUUACCAUAGUCUCUCAAUAAAUUUUUAAUUGUCUCUUUAGAGCUUUUGUAUA